ACAACAUUCGGACUGUCGCUCUACCGAGCAAUAACCGCUCGAUGGUAGAUCUUCCUUUCGUCAU
rnacentral:pre_miRNA from 1 species